rnacentral:rRNA from 1 species
GACCAGACUCCUACGGGAGGCAGCAGUGGGGAAUAUUGCACAAUGGGGGAAACCCUGAUGCAGCGACGCCGCGUGAGCGAUGAAGUAUUUCGGUAUGUAAAGCUCUAUCAGCAGGGAAGAAGAUGACGGUACCUGACUAAGAAGCCCCGGCUAACUACGUGCCAGCAGCCGCGGUAAUACGUAGGGGGCAAGCGUUAUCCGGAUUUACUGGGUGUAAAGGGAGCGUAGACGGCGAUGCAAGCCAGAUGUGAAAGCCCGGGGCUCAACCCCGGGACUGCAUUUGGAACUGUGUGGCUGGAGUGUCGGAGAGGCAGGCGGAAUUCCUAGUGUAGCGGUGAAAUGCGUAGAUAUUAGGAGGAACACCAGUGGCGAAGGCGGCUUACUGGACUGUAACUGACGUUGAGGCUCGAAAGCGUGGGGAGCAAACAGGAUUAGAUACCCGGGUAG